CCAUCAUUAAGUUGGGCACUCUAAGGUGACUGCCGGUGACAAACCGGAGGAAGGUGGGGAUGACGUCAAAUCAUCAUGCCCCUUAUGACCUGGGCUACACACGUGCUACAAUGGACGGUACAAAGAGCUGCAAGACGCGAGGUGGAGCUAAUCUCAUAAAACCGUUCUCAGUUCGGAUUGUAGGCUGCAACUCGCCUACAUGAAGCUGGAAUCGCUAGUAAUCGCGGAUCAGCAUGCCGCGGUGAAUACGUUCCCGGGCCUUGUACACACCGCCCGUCACACCACGAGAGUUUGUAACACCCGAAGUCGGUGGGGUAACCUUUUGGAGCCAGCCGCCUAAGGUGGGACAGAUGAUUGGGGUGAAGUCGUAACAAGGUAGCCGUAUCGGAAGGUGCGGCUGGAUCACCUCCUUUCUAUGGA
rnacentral:rRNA from 1 species